UACAGAGGUCUCAAGCGUUGUUCGGAUUCAUUGGGCGUAAAGGGCGCGUAGGCGGCCUGCUAAGUCGAACGUGAAAUCCCUGGGCUCAACCCAGGAACUGCGUCCGAUACUGGUUGGCUUGAAUCCGGGAGAGGGAUGUGGAAUUCCAGGUGUAGCGGUGAAAUGCGUAGAUAUCUGGAGGAACACCGGUGGCGAAGGCGACAUCCUGGACCGGUAUUGACGCUGAGGCGCGAAAGCCAGGGGAGCAAACGGG
rnacentral:rRNA from 1 species